CCCGCGCUGGGGCGGAGGCCUCGCGAGAAAGAGCGGUGUCUGCUGCCAGGACUGAGUUGACGAUUCUCGAUCAGAUCGAUAGAUCGGGUCGCUUACGGAGCGCGCCUUAGGGCUUUCCGACUGACGCAAGCGCAGACCGCCUGCGUGCUUGUACGCACGCUCCAGACAGUCCCAAUGGUUGUGGAUCCUCGGUUGCGGGCAUUGGAGGUUUGUCAUUUCAGACCUGGAAGCCACGCCCCCAAGGAAAGGCAUGCUUGUGUUUCUGCAGUCAGCUGCUAGCUGAGCUGAGCCUGGACAGGUUCUGAAGACUCAGGUGGGACAUAUCAGCUCUGCUUCAGUGAUCUCAUCUUCCAGCAAGCUACCUGGAUACCCAACUCUUCUGAUUCUAUGCCGAAUUACACCUUCAAGGUGAAAACUGCAGCACGUCAGGAAUCCUGAUGUAGGAGGGCAGUCGCCACUGAAAAUACUUCCCCAAAUAACAGCUUAUUGUUCUUCAUCAUCAAACAGGAAUCAUCUCCUCUCUCCCUCCUCCCUCCU